rnacentral:rRNA from 1 species
UGGGGAAUAUUGGGCAAUGGGCGCAAGCCUGACCCAGCGAUGCCGCGUGAAUGAUGAAGGCCUUAGGGUUGUAAAAUUCUUUUAGUGGGGAAGAUAAUGACGGUACCCACAGAAAAAGCACCGGCUAACUUCGUGCCAGCAGCCGCGGUAAUACGAAGGGUGCUAGCGUUGUUCGGAUUUACUGGGCGUAAAAUGUGUGCAGGUGGUUUGGUUAGUUGAAAGUGAAAUCCCAGGGCUUAACCUUGGAACUGCUUUCAAAACUGCCAAACUAGAGUACGGUAGAGGAUGACGGAAUUUCUAGUGUAGAGGUGAAAUUCUUAGAUAUUAGAAGGAACACCAAUGGCGAAGGCAGUCAUCUGGGCCGCUACUGACACUAAUACACGAAAGCGUGGGGAGCAAACAGG